AAUGGGAGUCUAUUGGAGUUGUCUGGUUCAGAUUCCACUGGAAAACAGUAGAUGAGAGUUGACAAGACACUGCCAUCCCAACAAGAGAUGGAAGAUGCCUGAAAUCAAGAGUCGGGCUACAUUAGUGGAUGGAAGAGUUGCUGAGUCAAGAAAACUGUGAUUCUGAAGAGGGGGUCACCUUCCACCUAACCUUCCUAGCCUGGUCAAGAAAACUUCACCUAUGCAACUAUCAGCACACAGACAAACCUCCUUAUCAACCUAAAUUCAAACUGGGAUUAAUCUUUGGAACUCUGUGCUGUUUAUAAAAGCAUACAUAAUUCAUAGAUAAGUAUAUGUUGCAUUAAAUAAUUAUUGUGUAAAAUUUCAUAGAACCUACAUAAAACUCAAAGCUCUCCAACCCCAUGCAUCCUGUAUCAGCAAUGCUCUACUCAUCAGUGCACUGCCAACCAUCAAAACUUUCCUGCCUUCCCAGCAGGCACUCCCACCCUCUUCCAUCUUCAUGACUUAGACAUCUGUACUGAAAUGCACAGUUUACUGCUAACCACCUCGAUGUCAUAAAGAGGAGAUUCCCAUAAGUCCUCUGUCAUUUUCCUUCCUGUCAAAGCUGUGUCUACAUUUCCAGGGUGUCAUUGUAUUCAGUUACACAUCAUUUGUUACCUCCUCUCUUUAGACUGCCAUUGUGUCUGGUAGCCUACAUUUCACUUAUCCGUUGUAAAGCUGCUGGACCAGUUUGGAGCCCCUGUAAACAACGCUGCUGCAAACACUCCUGAACAAGAAUCCUGGCCCACAUGUGCCUGUGUCUCCGCAAGGCAGGUAGAACAGCUGAGUCACGGCCCAUACACCUACUUUGUUACCAAAUGCCAGAGUAAUCCUUUUCCAAAGGUGUUGCCACCGUGUGCACUUCCAGCAGCAGAGCAUAGAAAUGCCUUUCACUCUAGUUUUGACUAAGGCCUUGCUCAUCCAGUGGGCAGGAAUGGCAUUUUCAUCUCCCCAUGCCCAGAGCUACCAAAUUGACUAAUGUGUAGGAGGAACUUCCAUCUAUUUGUUCAUUCAUGAAAUUCCCUUACACUUAUAAAUCCUUACUGACCUAUUUGGUAUCUGAAAUUCCCCAAUGAUCAGUUUUAGGAGAUUUUGUGAUUGAAUGCACAUGGACAAACCUGUUCAGAAGACCCAUUUUCCAUUAAUUCAUAAAACAUUUGCAUUAGUGGUACUACAGGUUUAUAAAGAAAAAUGGACUUACUUUUAUACAGAACAGAGUCAACAAGUGUAUCACACAGCCAAUGUCUAAAAUCCUAGGACAAAAAAAUGGAAGAUGCCCCGCCCCUCUCUUUCUCUCUCUCUCUCUGAACCCAAGCCCCUCUUCAUAUUAAGCAAGAGCUCUACCACAGAACCAGAAAGAUGAAAGGAUGUGAGAAAAAGGAAGGAGCCAAGCAUGAAAAGCAGUCUGGUUUCUGCUUCUAUGGACUUCUGAAACUCAUCUAUAGCCAUCUUUGCCUCUAGGACCAUUGCUUCCUAAACUGAAAAGCUAACAGUGGCAACCCGCCUACCACCUGUGAACCAGGGAGUUGGAUAUGAGUCAGGAUCAAGCACCAGAUAACCUGCUUCGAGAUUUGAGAUGCACACCUACAAGUAACAUUAUACAGACUGAG